rnacentral:rRNA from 1 species
ACUCCUACGGGAGGCAGCAGUGGGGAAUAUUGCACAAUGGGCGCAAGCCUGAUGCAGCCAUGCCGCGUGUGUGAAGAAGGCCUUCGGGUUGUAAAGCACUUUCAGUUGUGAGGAAGGUGGUGUCGUUAAUAGCGGCAUCAUUUGACGUUAGCAACAGAAGAAGCACCGGCUAACUCCGUGCCAGCAGCCGCGGUAAUACGGAGGGUGCGAGCGUUAAUCGGAAUUACUGGGCGUAAAGCGCAUGCAGGUGGUUUGUUAAGUCAGAUGUGAAAGCCCGGGGCUCAACCUCGGAACUGCAUUUGAAACUGGCAGACUAGAGUACUGUAGAGGGGGUAGAAUUUCAGGUGUAGCGGUGAAAUGCGUAGAGAUCUGAAGGAUACCGGUGGCGAAGGCGGCCCCUGGACAGAUACUGACACUCAGAUGCGAAAGCGUGGGAGCAAACAGGAUUAGAUACCCCUGGUAGCACAGGG